rnacentral:rRNA from 1 species
UACAGAGGGGGCAAGCGUUAUUCGGAAUUAUUGGGCGUAAAGGGCGCGUAGGCGGUCAGCACAAGUCAGUUGUGAAAUCUCCGAGCUUAACUCGGAAAGGUCAACUGAUACUGUGCGACUAGAGUGCGGAAGGGGCAACUGGAAUUCUUGGUGUAGCGGUGAAAUGCGUAGAUAUCAAGAGGAACACCUGCGGCGAAGGCGGGUUGCUGGGCCGACACUGACGCUGAUGCGCGAAAGCGUGGGGAGCAAACAGG